CUCCCACCGGUCGGGGGCUUCUCCUCUCCAUGGCUAGCGGUAGCGGCGCGGGCGCGGCGGCCUCGGCCAACCUGAACGCGUACUGCUUGAGAUUUCAAGAAUUUUGAAUACCGGUUUAGAUAUGGAAACGCUGUCUAUUUGUGUACGGCUUUGUGAACAAGGAAUCAACCCAGAAGCCUUAUCAUCUGUUAUUAAGGAGCUGCGCAAGGGUACAGAAGCACUCAAGGCUGCUGAAAACACAAGCUGACAUCCAGAGAAUUCCUGAUGAGAUGUCAAGCUUGGCAAGAACAUUCGAAGAUUCCAUUGUAGUCAAGAUACAAAAUGACAAUGAUGCAUGCUGCCUAGAAAAUGUUUUCUUUUCAAAAGAAUUAUAAAACCACAGCUGAGCGGGAAGUGGCUUGAGAAAGAACUAGCACGUGUGUUGACACCAUGUCUUAAUGUUGUUAACGGCCCCAGCUCCAUGGUGCUGCCGGGCUCUUAUUUAUGUACCUUAUUCAUAGCUCCGCUAGCUGGGAUUUUCUAAACAGCAUCUAUUGGAUACGCACAGCUGCUGUGCCUGGGUGAAGUCAGCGGAUCGCAUCAGAGGUGACAUGCAGUAGUUACGACUUGUUGACAUUUCCUUAUAAACCUUACUUUUGGAUUGUUUAAGCAUAAAAACUGGCUGGAUGUUCCAUUGAGCUGCAGGUCGAUGGGAUUUGA
rnacentral:lncRNA from 1 species